AGUAAUGCAUAGGAAUCUGCCCGAUAGUGGGGGAUAACCUGGGGAAACCCAGGCUAAUACCGCAUACGUCCUACGGGAGAAAGGGGGCUCCUGUCUCCCGCUUAUUGGAUGAGCCUAUGUCGGACUAACUUAUUUGUUGAGUUAAAGGCUCACCAAGUCUCUGAUCCGUACCUGGUCUGAGAGGAUGAUCACCAACAUCGGUUUUGAGACACGGCCCGAACUCUUACGGGAGUCAUCAGUGGGGAUAUUGGACAAUGGGGGUAUCCUGAUCCAGCCAUUCCGCGUGUGUGAAGAAGGCCCUCGGGUUGUAAAGCACUUUCAGUGAGGAAGAACUCCUGGUGGUUAAUACACAUCAGGUAAGACAUCACUCACAGAAGAAGCACCGGCUAACUCCGUGCCAGCAGCCGCGGUAAUACGGAGGGUGCGAGCGUUAAUCGGAAUUACUGGGCGUAAAGCGCGCGUAGGUGGCUUGAUAAGCCGGUUGUGAAAGCCCCGGGCUCAACCUGGGAACGGCAUCCGGAACUGUCAAGCUAGAGUGCAGGAGAGGAAGGUAGAUUCCCGG
rnacentral:rRNA from 1 species